UACGGGGGGGGCAAGCGUUGUUCGGAAUUACUGGGCGUAAAGGGCUCGUAGGUGGCCAACUAAGUCAGACGUGAAAUCCCUCGGCUUAACCGGGGAACUGCGUCUGAUACUGGAUGGCUUGAGUGUGGGAGAGGGAUGCGGAAUUCCAGGUGUAGCGGUGAAAUGCGUAGAUAUCUGGAGGAACACCGGUGGCGAAGGCGGCAUCCUGGACCACGACUGACGCUGAGUGAGCGAAAGCCAGGGGAGCAAACAGG
rnacentral:rRNA from 1 species